rnacentral:rRNA from 1 species
GAUGAACGCUGGCGGCGUGCCUAAUACAUGCAAGUCGAGCGAACGGACGAGAAGCUUGCUUCUCUGAUGUUAGCGGCGGACGGGUGAGUAACACGUGGAUAACCUACCUAUAAGACUGGGAUAACUUCGGGAAACCGGAGCUAAUACCGGAUAAUAUUUUGAACCGCAUGGUUCAAAAGUGAAAGACGGUCUUGCUGUCACUUAUAGAUGGAUCCGCGCUGCAUUAGCUAGUUGGUAAGGUAACGGCUUACCAAGGCAACGAUGCAUAGCCGACCUGAGAGGGUGAUCGGCCACACUGGAACUGAGACACGGUCCAGACUCCUACGGGAGGCAGCAGUAGGGAAUCUUACGCGAUGGGCGAAAGCCUAACGGAGCAACGCCGCGUGAGUGAUGAAGGUCUUCGGAUCGUAAAACUCUGUUAUUAGGGAAGAACAUAUGUGUAAGUAACUGUGCACAUCUUGACGGUACCUAAUCAGAAAGCCACGGCUAACUACGUG